rnacentral:rRNA from 1 species
CCUACGGGUGGCAGCAGUAGGGAAUCUUCCACAAUGGGCGAAAGCCUGAUGGUGCAACGCCGCGUGGGUGAAGAAGGUCUUCGGAUUGUAAAAUUCUGUUGUUAGAGAAGAAAGUGCGGGAGAGUAACUGUUCACGUUCCGACGGCAUCUUACCAGAAAGCGACGGCUAACUACGUGCCAGCAGCCGCGGUAAUACGUAGGUGGCAAGCGUUAUCCGGAUUUAUUGGGCGUAAAGGGAACGCAGGCGGUGUUGUAAGUCUGAUGUGAAAGGCUUGGGCUUAACCGGCGGAGUGCAUUGGAAACUGGUAGACUUGAGUGCAGAAGAGGUGAGUGGAACUCCAUGUGUAGCGGUGAAAUGCGUAGAUAUAUGGAAGAACACCAGUGGCGAAGGCGGCUUACUGGUCUGUAACUGACGCUGAGGUUCGAAAGCGUGGGUAGCAAACAGGAUUAGAUACCCUUGUAGUC